UACGUAGGUGGCAAGCGAUACUCGGAAUCACUAGGCGUAAAGCGCAGGUAGGAGGUUUGGAAAGUCUCUUGUGAAAGCUCCCGGCUCAACUGGGAGAGGUCAAGGGAAACUACCAGGCUAGAGUGCGGUAGAGGUAGCUGGAAUUCCCGGUGUAGCGGUGAAAUGCGUAGAUAUCUGGAGGAACACCGGUGGCGAAGGCGGCAUCCUGGACCGAUAUUGACGCUGAUGCGCGAAAGCCAGGGGAGCAAACGGG
rnacentral:rRNA from 1 species